UACAGAGGUCUCAAGCGUUGUUCGGAUUUAUUGGGCGUAAAGAGCGUGUAGGCGGCCAGAUAGGUCAGCUGUGAAAACUCGAGGCUCAACCUCGAGAUGUCGGCUGAAACCAUCUGGCUAGAGUCCGGAAGAGGAGAAUGGAAUUCCCGGUGUAGCGGUGAAAUGCGCAGAUAUCGGGAAGAACACCCGUGGCGAAGGCGGUUCUCUGGGACGGUACUGACGCUGAGACGCGAAAGCGUGGGGAGCGAACAGG
rnacentral:rRNA from 1 species